rnacentral:rRNA from 1 species
CAGCAGCCGCGGUAAUACGAAGGGUGCAAGCGUUAAUCGGAAUUACUGGGCGUAAAGCGUGCGUAGGCGGUGAGUUAAGUCUGCUGUGAAAUCCCCGGGCUCAACCUGGGAAUGGCAGUGGAUACUGGCUAGCUAGAGUGUGUCAGAGGAUGGUGGAAUUCCCGGUGUAGCGGUGAAAUGCGUAGAGAUCGGGAGGAACAUCAGUGGCGAAGGCGGCCAUCUGGGACAACACUGACGCUGAGGCACGAAAGCGUGGGGAGCAAACAGGAUUAGAUACCCGCGUAGUCCCUGUCUCUUAUAC